UACGAAGGGUGCAAGCGUUACUCGGAAUUACUGGGCGUAAAGCGUGCGUAGGUGGUUCGUUAAGUCUGAUGUGAAAGCCCUGGGCUCAACCUGGGAAUGGCAUUGGAAACUGGCGACCUAGAGUGCGGUAGAGGGUAGUGGAAUUCCCGGUGUAGCAGUGAAAUGCGUAGAGAUCGGGAGGAACAUCUGUGGCGAAGGCGAGUCCCUGGACAACACCUGACACUGAGGCACGAAAGCCGGGGGAGCAAACAGG
rnacentral:rRNA from 1 species